AUCAUAUUAUUACUUGUUAUUGUUUAAUAGUUAUAGUAGUAACUUUAAAUACACAGCCCGGUCUGUUGAUUUGGUUAUUUCACACUAGGUAGGCUGCCGUCACCCGGCCUCUGCAGAAGGCCCGGGAAGUACCUGACGGGCGCUACGGGCGUCGCGGUGCUGCUGUUGUCCGGAGAGCGCCAGGCUAGUGGGUACUCUGACCCUGCGUGCCCCGCCAGCCAACCGCUGGUGCUCCCUCUGAAUCGCACAGGCCGUUACGUCCCAACAACACCUACUCGUAAGUGCAACGAACACGCCCGAGCGUAAUGUCCGCAGUGUGAGUGAAAGUGCGCCGCGAAUAACACCAAGUCGACUACAGCGUAUAAAUAAUCAUCUUUUUAAAACAACCAAAUUAAUAACAAUUAGAAGAUACUGAAAUAAUAUGAAAAUUAUGUGCAAUUGUUAAAUAAUCAUGUAAUGUCAAAUAAAUCAUUUAAGUCCAAAACUGGUCGGAGCUGUUUUCCCGCGCUACACGCGUCUUGGCGCAAGGUCGCGCGGCGCUCUAGUGCCAGUUGCCGUCGGGAGCUCAAAGGGGUCGGUCGCUCUGCGAACGCAGAGCCUACAGUUUAGCGCCACGUCCAGUUCAUCGCAAUAGUUGUAAGUUUACCAAAAUCUUUUCAUUUAGCUCUGCGCCGACCCCAUUUAGCCAUACGUUCUUAUGUGCGGCUCUUCGCAUAAUUCAUUUUCAUCCCAAAAGGGAUAUUUCGACAUUCUACGUAAUUUUUCACGUCCUAAGCAUUCGGACAGCGGACUUGAGUCAUACGCAGUUUCCAGGCCUCGACCUCAGUGAAUCGUUAUUUGUUAAGGGCUUCUAGCAAGCCUCGAGUGCCAUAUAAAAACUCUUUAAUAUACGUGUCUUCAAUUUAGCUGAUUUCAACUGUGUAAUAUAUGUACUUGCAAUCUAACCAAGUAAUAACUUUGUUAACCUGUAAGAAGUGACUGUGACUCACGUAUGUUUUUCAUCUAGCCGGGCUUACGCACGAUUAGAAACAUUCGCAUUGUAGUGGGUUAGAUUGCAACCACCUUUAUGAACGUUUGAUUAUAUUUUGCUGUCAUUGUAUGUUUAACUUCAUUUUCCACAUAAACAGUUGCAAUUUAUCAGCUCUACAAUAAUUUGCCGCAGCCUUUGUGUUAGUAAUGGUCAUGGGAUAAAUCAUUAUACACGAUUUUGCAUCCUAUCCUGUUUGUGCGCAACGUCGAUGCGUUGAACCAAUCGUGAAGCGACGGUCUGACAACAGACUCGGCCAGGCAUUGGAUAAGCACGUGUAUCGGUCUAAAUAAAGUGCAGUAUCUUUUCAGUCGGUUUUCCUUUUAUUUUCAAGGCGUCCUGGGUGGCCUGAACAGCCCAGGUAGUUUAAAACUGCGACGCACUCCUGCCUACAGCCACGAGGUCAAACCCCCGUUUUUUACCCCUGAGAUCAUUUUCAACUUAAAAUUCACUCAAAUCUUAAUCAGGCAGCGGGAGUGGCGUCAGACUAUUACCUCUAAAUAUUACUGAACAUGUUUGUAAUAAUCAUAGAUAUUACUGUUAUUAGUAUUUGACGUGUGGUAAAACGUAAUAAUGUAUGUGUAUAGGCUAUUUUGAUAUUGAUAACCAUACGGAUACAUGUGUUGUUGUUGUUGUUGUUGUUGUUGUUGUUGUUGUUGUUGUAUAUACGUUGUACAUUGUAUGUAUAGUCCCCCAGCAUGAGCUUUCAGCUCUUUGGGACAAGUUGCAAUAAAGUUUAAAAAAAAAAAAAAAAAAA